CCCUGAGGGCCGAAGUGGAGAAGGGUUUCUCGAGAACGGCACUCGCUCGAGAGUUAGUCGAUCCUAAGCUGCCGGCGGCAGCCACGAAACGGUCGAUCGGGCGCGAGCCCGGCAGCCACGACCGGGCAGCGAAAGGGAAUUGGGAACCUCCUUCCCAAACCCGGAACCGGAACGAGGGCGGCGACGCGAACGAAACGGCCGCGGAGACGGCGGCCGCGGCCCCGGAGAGAGUUCUCUUUUCUGUGCGACUGGACGUCGGCCCCGGAAUCGCGUCGAGCGGAGGGGGGUCGGAGUUCAGGAAUAGCACCCCGGCCUUUCGGGGUGUCCGGGCGGCCGCGGUCGUCCCAUGAAAAUCCGCGGAUGAACGAGUAGGCGACGGUCCGGGUCGUACCAAUGACCGCAUCGGGUCUCCAAGGUUGAAAGCCUCUGGCUAAC
rnacentral:rRNA from 1 species